rnacentral:RNase_P_RNA from 1 species
CCAGAUGGUCGGACGGCCGCUGCCAGCUUCGGUUGGGAGAGGAAAGUCCGGGCUCCAUGGAAACAGGGUGCCGGGUAACGCCCGGCGGGGGCGACCCUAGGGAAAGUGCCACAGAAAGCAAACCGCCUGCCUUGGCAGGUAAGGGUGAAAGGGUGCGGUAAGAGCGCACCGCGCAGCUGGUAACAGGUGCGGCACGGUAAACCCCACCCGGAGCAAGACCAAAUAGGGGCAGCUGCGCCGUUUCGACGGUGCAGGCGGGUUUCCAGCCUGCUGCCCGGGUCGGUCGCGUGAGACGUUCGGCAACGAACGUCCUAGAUGAAUGGCCGUCUAAUGGGGUUUUCCCCAAGGACAAAACCCGGCUUACAGGCCAUCUGGCAUU